rnacentral:rRNA from 1 species
CCUACGGGUGGCAGCAGUGGGGAAUAUUGGGCAAUGGGCGCAAGCCUGACCCAGCAACGCCGCGUGAAGGAAGAAGGCUUUCGGGUUGUAAACUUCUUUUCUCAGGGACGAAGAAAGUGACGGUACCAGAGGAAUAAGCCACGGCUAACUACGUGCCAGCAGCCGCGGUAAUACGUAGGUGGCAAGCGUUAUCCGGAUUUAUUGGGUGUAAAGGGCGGGUAGGCGGGAGCGCAAGUCAGAUGUGAAAACUCAGGGCUCAACCCUGAGCCUGCAUUUGAAACUGUGUUUCUUGAGUGCUGGAGAGGCAAUCGGAAUUCCGGGUGUAGCGGUGAAAUGCGUAGAUAUACGGAGGAACACCAGUGGCGAAGGCGGAUUGCUGGACAGUAACUGACGCUGAGGCGCGAAAGCGUGGGGAGCAAACAGGAGUAGAUACCCUAGUAGUC